rnacentral:rRNA from 1 species
AACGAACGCUGGCGGCAGGCCUAACACAUGCAAGUCGAGCGCCCUCUCGGGGGCGCGGCGGACGGGUGAGUAACGCGUGGGGAUAUGCCCUUCUCUACGUAAUAGCCUACGUAUACUGAGGGUAAUACCGUAUACGCCCUGCGGGGGAAAGGUUUAUCGGGGAAGGAUGAGGCCUAGUGGGAUUAGGUGGUUGGUAGGGUGAUUGACUACCAAGCCGACUAGCCAUAGCUGGUGUGAGAGGAAGACCAGCCACACUGUCACUGAGACACAGCCCAGACUCCUACGGGAUGCAGGAGAGGCGAAUCUUAGACAAUGGGGGCAGCCAUGAUCUAGCCAUGCCGGGUAAGUGAUGAAGGCCUUAGGGUUGUAAAGCACUUUCAGCUGGGGAGAUAAUGACGGUACCAAAAGAAGAAGCCCCGGCUAACUCCGUG